rnacentral:tmRNA from 1 species
CGCCGGUAGUGGCUGCCUGUCAGCUAUCGGUUAGAUCAAGCAGGCUGGUUUUCAGGUGCGCUUUGCCCGCCGUGCUGCCUGGGAACGAGAUCUAACGGAGGGAUAAGCAUGUAGUGCUGGGGAUGGAGUGCUUCCGGACGGCGGUUCGAUUCCGCCCACCUCCACCA